GUGGCCGCAGGAUGUCUCAGGGAGAUAGAUGGCUGCAGGGUGUCUCCCAGGCAGGAUGUCUCCCAGGGGGCUGUUUCUUGUAAGUUUCAGGCUAUUCUUUGAAGGAGAAUUUCCUUCUAGCCCCUGACAGAAACUUAAAAACUUAAGUUUCAUCAUGUACUCCUCUACUCACAUCUUCCAACAGCUUCUCUUUUCUCUUGUUGUACAUGAUGCAGAAUCACACCAUUCAUACAAUUAUACACGUACAUACGGUAAUAAUGUCCGUCUCAUUCCACUAUCCUUCCCACACCCACUUCCCCUCCCCUCCCCUCACUCCCCUCUGCCCAAUCCAAAGUUCCUCCAUUCUUCCCUAGCACCCUGACAUUAUGGAUAAGCAUCUGCAUAUCAGAGAAAACAUUUGGCCUUUGGUUUGGGGGGAUUGGCUUACUUCACUUAGCAUGAUAUUAUCCAACUCCAUCCAUUUAUCUCAAAUGCCAUAAUUUCAUUCUUAUUUAAGGGUAACAUUCAAUUGUGUAUACAGACCACAUUUUCUUUAUUUAUUCAUCUGUUGAAGGGCAUCCCCUAUCUCUCACCCUGCCCAAAACUCAUUUGAAGUGGAUCAAGGACCCAGGAAUUAGACCAGAGACCCUGCUCCUAAUAGAAGAAAAAGUAGGCCCAAAUCUUCAUUAUGUCAGCUUAGGACCUGAGUUCCUUAACACAAUUCCAAAGACACAAGAAAUAAAAUCAAGAAUCAGUAAAUGGGAUGGAUUCAAACUAAAAAGUUUCUUCUCAACAAAGGAAACCGUCACUAAUGUGAAGAGAGAGCCUACAGAAUGGGAGAAAAAUUUUGCCACAUGCACAUCAGAUAGAGCAGUAAUCUCUAGGAUAUAUAAAGAACUCAGAAAACUUAACACCAGACUGAGCUUUUAAAAACUUAAGUUUCAUCAUGUACUCCUCUACUCACAUCUUCCAACAGCUUCCCAUGUCACUGAGAACAGAAUCCCACGACGUUACCAUGUCCUACCAGACCCAGUGUGGUCUGGCACCCUCCUUCUCCCUGAUACAUCUGAUAGACUCUCUCCACCAAACUAUAGUCUGGAUCCUCGGAAUUUUCUUCCCAAAUAGACCUCAGCUUUCAGUGUCUGUUCUUGCCAGGCCUGCAUAGCCCAAUUUUAGCAAAAAGCCUGUCAGUUUAGCCAGAACCCCCACCCCCACCCCCAGACACUUCUUCUUUAUCUAGCUACCUUCAAUAUCUGAUCAGGUUCUUUAUCCCCCAUCAUCCCCAAGUGAUGUCUGAUCAGCCCCCUGUCUUCAGGAAGAAUCCUAGGAGGUCUGUUGAGCCAGAAUCCCCCUUUACUCUUUGCUCUGGUUUGGGUAAGUGUCUCCCAAAGGCCCAUGUGUUAAAAACUUGGUCCCCAGACCAUGGUGCUACUGGGAGGUGAUGCAAACUCUAGGAGGUAGGGCUUGGUGGGAGGAAGUGAGGUCCCUGGGGGCAUGCCCUUGAGGGGCUGCUGGGACCCUGGUCCCUCUCUUCCUCUCUCUUUGCUUGCUUCCUGGUUACCAUGAGGUGAGCACCUUUCAUUGCAUGUUCUUACCAUAAUGUGCUACCCUGCCACAGGUUCAAAAGCCAUGGACCUCCAUCAUGGACUAUAGCUUCCAAAGCAGUGAGCCAAAAUAAAUCUUUCUUCUCUACAAGUUGGUUAUUUCAGGUACUUUCUCUCACAAUGACAGGAA
rnacentral:lncRNA from 1 species